UUUACUUUUGUGCCAAGCAAGUGAAGACCUCCAUGAGGCAAUUGGCAGAACCCAAGGGAUAUGCAAUCUAUCCCCCGCUAUUCUGUUGAGUCGUCCCUCUGCUCACACCACUGUGUUGAUGCAUUGGGACACAAACCCAAGAUCUUGUACUUUGUACAGUUGUGUCAGAGUCUUGAGCGUAGAAGGGUCCCUCUAUUCUGGACCCACGCUCCUUUGUCUGAAGCUCUCCCUGGUCAGGGAUAAGAGCUGUGAAGUCUAAUCUUCAC
rnacentral:lncRNA from 1 species